GGGGGGGGGGACAGGAGACUAUUCAACAUGGAGGAAUGAGAACAGGCUGUUAAUUAUGAAGGAGAAACUACGGUGGCCGGGAAAAACCUUAUCUACGGCCAGUUUGGUUUGUACGUUCUGGGCUACUGUAGAAACACGAUGGUUCAACAUGGCGGACUCCAUGGAAGGCGACCUGUGACUGUAAAUAUAAAAGGCUCAUUCUAAGACCCUCCUAUAUGUUAUGUGGCUGAGGAACAAAGGUGAGUGCUAUUACUUAUGUUGACAAGGCAUUCAU